rnacentral:lncRNA from 1 species
UUCCUUCCUACUUCAGUUAAUGUAGGAAACCUGGAGAUGAGCCUGCCCAGUUGAAUCAUAUAUCACUAAUCAUUGACCAUGCUAACAUUCAUAGUCAAUUUUUCAUUUUUUAUUAUGUUUCAAUAUACAAUCUAAAAUUUUUAUACAAUAUAUUUUGAUUCUAUUCUUUCCCCUCCAUCAGCUCCUUUUAGAUCCUCCCAACCUCCUAACUCAUCCAACUCUGUGUUCUUUCUCUAUCACUCUCUCAAAAAAAAAAAGAAAUGAAAAUCAAAAAUAAACAAUCCAAAACAGUAAUACAAGAAACAACAACUAAAAUAAAAAGCACACAAAAAUAGAGUCCUCCUUGCAUUCUUAUAAUAUAUGUUGAUCAGAUUCUUUCCCCUUCUGCAUAAAAAGCAAUUGUUAGGCUUGGCAAUACAACAUAAUGAUUAAGAAAACUGGCUGUUCACCCAGAGGACCCAGGUUCAAUUCCCAGCACCCACAGGUGGCUCACAACCAUUUGCAACUUUAGUUCUGCAGAACUGGACUCUGUCUUCUGACCUUCUUGGGUACCAGGCACACUUGUAACACAAAAAUAAAGCACCCAUUGGGUGCAGGCAAAACAACCAUGCACAUAAGAAAAAAAAUUAUAAAGGAAAAAAAGAGAGAGUUGCUAAUGCCACAGUAAAAUUGGAUCUUUGUCUAAUUCCUUCAAUUUACUCCAAUUUAUUCACCUAAUUAGGAAAAAAAAAGGAAUAUUUGGCAUGCCAAAAAUAGGUAAUAUGUAAAUGAAUUACAUCUAAAAUAAAGUCAGCUAUGAGUAGAAAUUGUAUGAAGAGGGCUCUUUACACCCAAACCUCCUAAGACGAGGUCAGGUAUGGUGUGACAUCUGCCUGCCUCUCUUUCUUCUACUCUUCCAGGGAAGUGUAUGUAGCAGGUAAGCUGACCUCUUCAGGAAGAUCAGAGGACUUACUAGGCAGGCUGUGUCUUGUGUGUCUCUGCACUCCUCAUUGCAUAGCGCUCUGUCACAUGCUUACUGACUCCUUGAGGAUUUAAAGGCAUUUAAUCUCUUUCUGCAUACUUUCUAGAUCCCUGAGACAUCACAUAGUAUCUAGAAUAUGGGGAGUACUUAAUAAAUGUUCAUUUGAUUAAAUGAAAUCACCAAAAUGACGAUGUCUACUCUGGACUGGAGUCUAGUAUUUUCCUUC